GGGGAUGUAGCUCAGUGGUAGCGUGCUUACCCAGCAAGUACAAGGCCCUGAGUUCAAUCCUCAGUAUGCCCC
rnacentral:tRNA from 1 species